rnacentral:rRNA from 1 species
AUUGAACGCUGGCGGAAUGCUUUACACAUGCAAGUCGAACGGCAGCACGGGGCAACCUGGUGGCGAGUGGCGAACGGGUGAGUAAUACAUCGGAACGUGCCCAAUCGUGGGGGAUAACGUAGCGAAAGUUACGCUAAUACCGCAUACGAUCUACGGAUGAAAGCGGGGGAUCGCAAGACCUCGCGCGAGUGGAGCGGCCGAUGUCAGAUUAGGUAGUUGGUGGGGUAAAGGCUCACCAAGCCAACGAUCUGUAGCUGGUCUGAGAGGACGACCAGCCACACUGGAACUGAGACACGGUCCAGACUCCUACGGGAGGCAGCAGUGGGGAAUUUUGGACAAUGGGCGCAAGCCUGAUCCAGCCAUUCCGCGUGCAGGAUGAAGGCCUUCGGGUUGUAAACUGCUUUUGUACGGUAACGAAACGGCGAGCUCUAAUACAGUUUGCUAAUGACGGUACCGUAAGAAUAAGCACCGGCUAACUACGUGCCAGCA